GGGCCUAUAGCUCAGUCGGUUAGAGCGUUCGCCUGAUAAGCGAGAGGUCGGUGGUUCAACUCCACCUAGGCCCACCA
rnacentral:tRNA from 1 species